AUUUGUAUAAAAAGUAACUUUAUUAUUUUUUUUGAGCACAACUGCUUUUCAAUACUAAAUAGAAUCAAAUCAUUGUUUUAUGGAUCUUUAAAGAACUGAACUUUACAGUCGGUUCAAACAAGACGCAAUAUUUCUUUCAUAUACUUCUUCGUAAGUCAUAAAAUAUCUUUUUGUAAGUCGUUUUUCAACUUAGUAAAAUGUCCAAACAGGUUAGUUAUAAAGACAACAAAACAGGUUAGUUAAAAGUUUACAUUCAUACACACAUAUACAUAUUUAUAUAUACAUAAAUUUAAAGAUACAAACUUUUAUAUACACGUAAACCAAAACACAU
rnacentral:lncRNA from 1 species